GACGAACCGUGCGAACGUUGUUCGGAAUCACUGGGCUUAAAGGGAGCGUAGGCGGGCUAUCAAGUCUGGGGUGAAAUGCCACGGCUCAACCGUGGAACUGCCUCAGAUACUGACGGCCUCGAGGGAGAUAGGGGCAUGCGGAACUGUAGGUGGAGCGGUGAAAUGCGUUGAUAUCUACAGGAACUCCGGUGGCGAAAGCGGCGUGCUGGAUCUCUUCUGACGCUGAGGCUCGAAAGCUAGGGGAGCAAACGGG
rnacentral:rRNA from 1 species